rnacentral:siRNA from 1 species
AGCACUGCAUAAACGUCUAAUCUC